UUUUAUAUGAUGAUUGCUAGAUAUUGUGAAGAGCACUCCAUCAAGACAAAGGAGAUGGAUAUGAGUACAUAUUUAUGAAUUGGUAUCUUCAGCUACCAAAAAAAUACUUUUUAAAACCUCCUGGCCACUACACUGCUGGGUGGAAAAUAUCUUCUGUUAUAUUGAUCUUUCUCUCUUUCUCCCAUCAACAGCUUCACAAUGUUAACCUUGCAUUAGACCUGCUGGCAGAUGGAGGCCUUCUGAAUUUUUCAGUGAACUCUGAAGAUAUCGUGAAUGGAGAUAUGAAGACUAUAAUGCGAAUUCUGUAUUGCUUGUAUUCCAAAUACAAAUCCAAGGAAACGUGAGGAGCAAGGCCAAGACCUUGGGCUUUGUUUUCUGGUGUUCUUUUUUCCCCUAGCAUGUCAUGGUCAGAUUUUUGGAUUCCCAGCUCUGUUUGCCACUGUUUAUGUGCUUGCACUUGUGUCUGACACUUGCUGUAUUAACAUUGUAUAUUCAAGUAUGUAUUCAUGCAAGUUUUCACAUAGACCUGAGUAACUAAGUACACGUGUGUCCAGGGCCAGUGUACUGUGUAAUUCUGUGGCUGUAGCUCUUGCUACAGACCCUGUCUCCUGUUCUAUCUGAGCUCCUCUAAUGCUGAAAAGAAGUGCAUUCUAGGCUCUGCAAUCUUUGCUUCUGGAGGUGAAUUUGGAAGCUGUAAUUGCAACCUCCCAACUUUCCUGCUUGAGUGACUCAAGAAACUAGAGAGUGGAAAGAGCCACCAUCGCACCUCUGGGAAGAGAAGGAUUGCAAACACGCUUGAAAUUCAUGUUCGAAACCUUCUUUAGACAGAUGGCCAGCUGUUCUCAGACAAGAAGACAUGGAUUGGAUGCCAUAUGCACAGGUAGCAGAGAUGAAAGCUGAACUUAUCAAGUGUCUGAUAAAGUUCCACUGUCUGCCUGCUUAAAUACGGAAAAGGGACUCAGAACAACAUGGUGGCAUGACACUGUGCUGUAACAGAGAGGUCUCCUGACAGCUGUGGAAAGACGUCCUUGUUUCCUUGCUAAGCUAAUGCUGAGCUAUGGCCAGCCCCAGCCUGUUGCAGCCCCAGUGUAAUGUCUGAGUAGCAGGAAUGCCAAUUCCUGUGUCAAGCAUUGACUGAUUGAUGGCUUGGCUUUGCGAGUGAAGAUUUGGGAAGGGCUUUACCCAUGCUUACUACAAGCACAGUGAUCAAAGGCAUGUGAGAUAGACAAAUCUGUUUGGAAAAAAGGCUGCUUAGGCAAUCAGAAAGUUUCCGACCAGGCAUAUUGCAGGAGUGGCUGACAUGUCCAUUCUUUCUCUCCAGGAAGAGGUAGAUAGAUGCUUUGUCUGCAGCUGAGGCCGUCAUGGGUGGGAGUAGUGAAACUCUCAGCGUCUGUCACUUCUGACAGCAUAAUCAUGCUGCAGGGACUCUAAACCCCCUCUGAGACUCUUGGCUGGAUUUGUUCAGCAGCUGUCCUCAAGUAUCCCAGCAGCUCUCUAGGGAUGCAGUGAGGCUGGUCGCAAUUUAUGUUAGCUGUCACCCUUGGUCAUUGUUGGGGAUUUUAAAUCAGAACUCCUUCAAAACCUCCAUAUAUUUCCUUGACCUUAAAAUUAUGUCAUGUUUGUGUUGCAUAAAGCUUGAGAUCUAAUAAAAAACAUUUUGAUAUUAUUUUGGCUUCCA
rnacentral:lncRNA from 14 species